GGUUAAGCUACUAAGAGCACACGGAGGAUGCCUAGGCGCUAGGAGCCGAUGAAGGACGUGGCGAACGACGAAAUGGCCUCGGGGAGCUGUAAGCAAGCUUUGAUCCGGGGAUGUCCGAAUGGGGAAACCCGGCUGGUGUAAUAACCAGUCACUCACAGCUGAAUACAUAGGUUGUGAAGAGGCAUACCCAGGGAACUGAAACAUCUAAGUACCUGGAGGAAGAGAAAACAAGAGUGAUUCCGUCAGUAGCGGCGAGCGAACGCGGAACAGCCUAAACCGAAGAGCUUGCUCUUCGGGGUUGUGGGACGUCUCACAUGGAGUUACAAAGGUUUAGAUUAGUUGAACAGGUCUGGAAAGGCCGGCCAUAGAAGGUAAAAGCCCUGUAGUCGAAAAUGUGAACCCUCCGAGACGGAUCCCGAGUAGUGCGGGGCACGUGAAACCCCGUAUGAAUCUGCCAGGACCAUCUGGUAAGGCUAAAUACUCCCUAGCGACCGAUAGUGAAGCAGUACCGUGAGGGAAAGGUGAAAAGCACCCCGGGAGGGGAGUGAAAUAGAACCUGAAACCGUGUGCUUACAAGAAGUCAGAGCCCGUUCAAUGGGUGAUGGCGUGCCUUUUGUAGAAUGAACCGGCGAGUUACGUUCCCAUGCAAGGUUAAGGCGAGAAGCCGUAGCCGCAGCGAAAGCGAGUCUGAAUAGGGCGAAUUAGUAUGUGGGCGUAGACCCGAAACCGUGUGAUCUACCCCUGUCCAGGGUGAAGGUGCGGUAACACGCACUGGAGGCCCGAACCCACGUACGUUGAAAAGUGCGGGGAUGAGGUGGGGGUAGCGGAGAAAUUCCAAUCGAACUCGGAGAUAGCUGGUUCUCCCCGAAAUAGCUUUAGGGCUAGCCUCGGAAUAAAGAGUCAUGGAGGUAGAGCACUGAUUGGGUGCGGGGCCCGCAAGGGUUACCAAGCUCAGUCAAACUCCGAAUGCCAUCGACUUAUGUCCGGGAGUCAGACAGUGAGUGCUAAGAUCCAUUGUCAAAAGGGAAACAGCCCAGACCAUCAGCUAAGGUCCCCAAGUGUGUGUUAAGUGGGAAAGGAUGUGGAGUUGCACAGACAACCAGGAUGUUGGCUUAGAAGCAGCCACCAUUUAAAGAGUGCGUAAUAGCUCACUGGUCGAGUGACUCUGCGCCGAAAAUGUAACGGGGCUAAACACACCACCGAAGCUAUGGCUUGAU
rnacentral:rRNA from 1 species